GAAGCCAGUAUUCACGUUUUAUACUUAUCCAUACAAGGCAGCAAAUAUUGUAUGGUAAUUGGAAUGAAAGCCGAGAAUAAAGACCAAUAUGUUUAUUACAUCGACCGAUUCUUAGCUGCAAAACUGGAGUUGACCAUGAUGCGGAAAUCUAGCAAUGUUUCCAUGAGCUACUGACCAUAAGUUUCAGGACUAAAGAUAAAUUUAUACUAAAUAUCAGAUUAUUUGGAAAUUUGAUCUGGCUGUGGAAAUCUCUGGGUACAUCCUCACCUGGACUAUUAAGAAGAUACCAUUAAAACCAAUAGAAGUUGAACGAAAGCUUAAUGAAUGGUCAAGAUAAAUGGAUCAAUUUGGAAAAUAAGGAAGAUUCUCUUGGGAGGGAGCCCAGUGCACGCGUUAAGUACGCUGCCAUAUCCGAAGCCUGCGCUUUAAAUAAUAGUCUCCAGCACAGAGUGUGCUCCCACUUCCCUUUCUCCCGGCCACUUUAAAUAGCCUUGGGCACCUAAGAGAAAAGCUUCUGAACUGAAGCACACAUAAAGCUGCCAAUAAAAGAACAGAUCCGAAGCCUUCUUGCCGCCCCAGCGGCUCCGGGGCUGCAGCUUCUACCAGAAAGAGAAACCUCUUACCUUUUGGGGACGGUUCGACUUGCGGUAAUUCCGGACCCGAGCCCACACCGCCUCGCUAGCUUUUCCCGGGGACGGUAGGCGCUGGUUAUCACUCACAGCGCUCCCCCCCCCCCCCCCCCCCCCCCC